GUCGUAACUUUAAACACUGAAUGAAUCAUCAUUAAGUAAGGAAUACCUAUAUAUCAUAUUGAAGAAGGAACAUAUAUGAAGGUGCCUCUAAUCUUGUGUAUAAAGUUGUUUCAGUCUAUGACAUUGUUGAGACAAAGUAGAUAUCAAGUUUACCUCAGGAUUCCUAUUAUUAUACCACCAUUUCUUGUCGCGUGAAAAGAGAAGAUGGACAAGUCACAAUGAAUGAGAAAUCAAAAAGGAAAUCUGAAAGAGAGAAAAAAAUGAGAGAAAGAUAUGUGUCUCCUUUCACUGCUAUUGUAGGCCCUGGCCCAAUCCAUUCCUUGCUCAUGUCUUGCAUGCCAUGUCACCCUGAUAGACAGAACAUUCCUGAUCAAAACUUAUCGAUCCAUGUCAUAGUGGUCAUAUUUAUAUUGUCUCCAAAAUCCAACUCUUUUUCCCGGAACAGAUUGGAAGAAUUAAAAAGUAUUGCCUUCAAAGCAA